UGGGGAAUAUUGGACAAUGGGGGCAACCCUGAUCCAGCAAUGCCGCGUGUGUGAAGAAGGUCUUCGGAUUGUAAAGCACUUUCGACGGGGACGAUGAUGACGGUACCCGUAGAAGAAGCCCCGGCUAACUUCGUGCCAGCAGCCGCGGUAAUACGAAGGGGGCUAGCGUUGCUCGGAAUGACUGGGCGUAAAGGGCGUGUAGGCGGUUUACACAGUCAGAUGUGAAAUCCCCGGGCUUAACCUGGGAGCUGCA
rnacentral:rRNA from 1 species